UGAUAAGGUAAGCUAAAUAUUAAGCUAUUGGGUUCAUACCUCAAAAAUGGAUUUAAGAUAUCUCUUUAUUAA
rnacentral:tRNA from 1 species